AGAGUUUGAUCAUGGCUCAGAUUGAACGCUGGCGGCAGGCCUAACACAUGCAAGUCGAGCGGUAGCACAGAGAGCUUGCUCUCGGGUGACGAGCGGCGGACGGGUGAGUAAUGUCUGGGAAACUGCCUGAUGGAGGGGGAUAACUACUGGAAACGGUAGCUAAUACCGCAUAAUGUCGCAAGACCAAAGUGGGGGACCUUCGGGCCUCAUGCCAUCAGAUGUGCCCAGAUGGGAUUAGCUAGUAGGUGGGGUAACGGCUCACCUAGGCGACGAUCCCUAGCUGGUCUGAGAGGAUGACCAGCCACACUGGAACUGAGACACGGUCCAGACUCCUACGGGAGGCAGCAGUGGGGAAUAUUGCACAAUGGGCGCAAGCCUGAUGCAGCCAUGCCGCGUGUGUGAAGAAGGCCUUCGGGUUGUAAAGCACUUUCAGCGGGGAGGAAGGCGAUAAGGUUAAUAACCUCAUCGAUUGACGUUACCCGCAGAAGAAGCACCGGCUAACUCCGUGCCAGCAGCCGCGGUAAUACGGAGGGUGCAAGCGUUAAUCGGAAUUACUGGGCGUAAAGCGCACGCAGGCGGUCUGUCAAGUCGGAUGUGAAAUCCCCGGGCUCAACCUGGGAACUGCAUUCGAAACUGGCAGGCUAGAGUCUUGUAGAGGGGGGUAGAAUUCCAGGUGUAGCGGUGAAAUGCGUAGAGAUCUGGAGGAAUACCGGUGGCGAAGGCGGCCCCCUGGACAAAGACUGACGCUCAGGUGCGAAAGCGUGGGGAGCAAACAGGAUUAGAUACCCUGGUAGUCCACGCCGUAAACGAUGUCGAUUUGGAGGUUGUGCCCUUGAGGCGUGGCUUCCGGAGCUAACGCGUUAAAUCGACCGCCUGGGGAGUACGGCCGCAAGGUUAAAACUCAAAUGAAUUGACGGGGGCCCGCACAAGCGGUGGAGCAUGUGGUUUAAUUCGAUGCAACGCGAAGAACCUUACCUGGUCUUGACAUCCACAGAACUUUCCAGAGAUGGAUUGGUGCCUUCGGGAACUGUGAGACAGGUGCUGCAUGGCUGUCGUCAGCUCGUGUUGUGAAAUGUUGGGUUAAGUCCCGCAACGAGCGCAACCCUUAUCCUUUGUUGCCAGCGGUCCGGCCGGGAACUCAAAGGAGACUGCCAGUGAUAAACUGGAGGAAGGUGGGGAUGACGUCAAGUCAUCAUGGCCCUUACGACCAGGGCUACACACGUGCUACAAUGGCAUAUACAAAGAGAAGCGACCUCGCGAGAGCAAGCGGACCUCAUAAAGUAUGUCGUAGUCCGGAUUGGAGUCUGCAACUCGACUCCAUGAAGUCGGAAUCGCUAGUAAUCGUAGAUCAGAAUGCUACGGUGAAUACGUUCCCGGCCUUGUACACACCGCCCGUCACACCAUGGGAGUGGGUUGCAAAAGAAGUAGGUAGCUUAACCUUCGGGAGGGCGCUUACCACUUUGUGAUUCAUGACUGGGGUGAAGUCGUAACAAGGUAACCGUAGGGGAACCUGCGGUUGGAUCACCU
rnacentral:rRNA from 1 species